CCGAGUUUAUCCAACUCCCAACCCCUGUGAACUAUACCACUUUGUUGCUCGGCGGAUCAGCCGCUCCGGUAAACGGGACGGCCCGCCAGAGGACCCCUAAACCUUCUGAUUUUUAAUAGUAAUCUUCUGAGUGGUUAAAACAUAAAUAAAUCA
rnacentral:misc_RNA from 1 species